GUCACACCCGUUCCCAUACCGAACACGGAAGUUAAGCUCUUCAGCGCCGAUGGUAGUUGGGGGUCUCCCCCUGUGAGAGUAGGACGUCGCUGGGC
rnacentral:rRNA from 1 species